rnacentral:rRNA from 1 species
CCUACGGGAGGCAGCAGUGGGGAAUAUUGCACAAUGGGGGAAACCCUGAUGCAGCAACGCCGCGUGAGGGAGGAAGUAUUUCGGUAUGUAAAGCUCUAUCAGCAGGGAAUAGAAAAGAAGGUACCUGAAAACGAAGCCCCGGCUAACUACGUGCCAGCAGCCGCGGUAAGAAGUAGGGGGCAAGCGUUAUCCGGAUUUACUGGGGGUAAAGGGAGGGUAGACGGAAAGGGCAGUCCGAAGUGAAAGCCCAAGGCUCAACCAUGGGACUGCCUUUGAAACUGGAGAACUAGAGUACGGGAGAGGUAAGAGGAAUGCGUAGUGUAGCGGUGAAAUGCGUAGAUAUUAGGAAGAACACCAGUGGCGAAGGCGGCUUACUGGACCGAAACUGACGUUGAGGCUCGAAAGCGUGGGGAGCAAACAGGAUUAGAUACCCUUGUAGUC